rnacentral:rRNA from 1 species
CGCGUAGGCGGUCUCUAAAGUCAGAUGUGAAAGCCCGGGGCUUAACCCCGGAAGUGCAUUUGAAACUCAGGGACUUGAGUAUGGGAGAGGGAAGUGGAAUUCCUGGUGUAGCGGUGAAAUGCGUAGAUAUCAGGAGGAACACCAGUGGCGAAGGCGACUUCCUGGACCAAUACUGACGCUGAGGCACGAAAGCGUGGGGAGCAAACAGGAUUAGAUACCCUGGUAGUCC